AUUGAACGCUGGCGGCAGGCCUCACACAUGCAAGUCGCACGAGUGGCGGACGGGUGAGUAAUGCCUGGGAAACUGCCUGAUGGAGGGGGACAACUACGGGAAACUGUAGCUAAUACCGCAUACCAUAAGCUGAGCCCAAGUGGGAUUAGUUAGUUGGUGGGGUAAAGGCUCACCAAGUCGACGAUCCCUAGCUGGUCUGAGAGGAUGACCAGCCACACUGGGACUGAGACACGGCCCAGACUCCUACGGGAGGCAGCAGUGGGGAAUAUUGCGCAAUGGGGGCAACCCUGACGCAGCCAUGCCGCGUGAAUGAAGAAGGCCUUCGGGUUGUAAAGUUCUUUCGGUAGCGAGGCGUUACCUACAGAAGAAGCACCGGCUAACUCCGUGCCAGCAGCCGCGGUAAUUC
rnacentral:rRNA from 1 species